rnacentral:rRNA from 1 species
AUUGAACGCUGGCGGCAGGCUUAACACAUGCAAGUCGAGCGGAGUGAUGGUGCUUGCACUAUUACUUAGCGGCGGACGGGUGAGUAAUGCUUAGGAAUCUGCCAUUUAGUGGGGGACAACAUUCCGAAAGGAAUGCUAAUACCGCAUCCGUCCUACGGGAGAAAGCAGGGGAUCUUCGGACCUUGCGCUAAAUGAUGAGCCUAAGGCGGAUUAGCUAGUUGGUGGGGUAAAGGCCUACCAAGGCGACGAUCUGUAGCGGGUCUGAGAGGAUGAUACGCCACACUGGGACUGAGACACGGCCCAGACUCCUACGGGAGGCAGCAGUGGGGAAUAUUGGACAAUGGGCGGAAGCCUGAUCCAGCCAUGCCGCGUGUGUGAAGAAGGCCUUUUGGUUGUAAAGCACUUUAAGCGAGGAGAAGGCUCUCCUAGUUAAUACCUAGGAAGAGUGGACGUUACUCGCAGAAUAAGCACCGGCUAACUCUGUGCCAGCAGCCGCCGUAAGAC